UCAUUUUUCUUAUAUACUCAACACUUUCUCCCACCUUAUUUUACUUCUUUCCUCCCAAAUCUGCUGAUUUUAUAGUUAUCAGUUCUUCUUAGAUGGUGGGUGGUUUGUUUUUUUGGGUUUUUUUUCCACCUUGGGUCAAUCUUGCAGUUCUUAUUGAUUCCUUACUUCGGGAAAAAAGCCUUCAUGAUUUCAGUAGGUGGUCUCCUGGAAUCACCUCUUGGGUUUUGCCAUAUUGAGUGCAUGAUGUCUUUUAGAGAACUGAAACUGAAAUCACUGUGCUUCUUUGUCCAGGUACAACGUGAAAUUGUACAUCAAAAUCUUUAUCAUCAAUCAGGAUGUCCAGAACCACUCUUUGAGUUUGCUGUUACUGAAGUCUCAUUGAACUACGUGCGUGAUGAGGAGACCGGUAAAGGGAGACUGCAAAAUCCAUGCCCUCCUUUGAGAGGCCAAAGAAGGAGGCAUAGCAAGGAUUUUGUCCCAGUUAUGGCCCAAAUUAUUGUUGGAUUGGUGUACUCAAGCCAGAAUAUCAGAAGAAAACCCAGGCCAAAGUGAAGCAGUGUCAUGCUUCAGCAGGUUGCACAAGCAGCAGAAGAUACAGAGGAGACAAGUGCUGUGGAGAGCCCUACCCCAAGAAAACUUCUGUCUGUCAAGCUGACUUUUACACAUGGAAGGUUUCACUGAAGUUGGUUUAACCCUUAUCAAGAAGGGGGCAGAAGGUAUGAAUUAAAGACAUAAUUAAAGUUUAGGCGCUCAGAAGACGUGUAUCCUCACUGAAAUGACAUGGACCUGUUGGUGUGAGUCCAGAGGAGGGCCAUGAAGAUGAUCAUAGGGCUGGAGCACCUUUCCUAUGAGGAAAGCUUGAAAGAAUUGAGGUUGAUCAGCCUUAAGAAGAGAAGGCUGCUGGGAGACCUUAUUGUGGUCUUACAGUACCUAAAGGAGCCUUGCAGACCUGUGGAGUGGGAAGUCAAGCCGGCAGCCCAAAGGCACCACAGCCAGAAGAGAAACAGGAGGAGGAUGUGGAAAUAAUUGGAAAUCCCUGGGUUCCAGAAAGUCAGCAGAGAACAUGCCAGCGCCCUUAAGCUAAGGAGGGACCUGGGAGAGGGUGCAGUUUGCAUGUUUGGAAGGAGAGAGGGAAGUGCGUGUUAAUAAGGCAGUGUGAAGGUCUGUGAAGUGCAGGAGAGGCAUUCGAGGUGGGAACCGCACCCUGUCUCUAAUUCCCUCAUCUAAUCUGGCUGCAGCAGGAGCCCACACAGAAAAACCUCUUUCAAUCUCCUUACUGUCAGCUGUCUCCACACCACUUUUGGGCUCUGCAAAUGGCUAAAAUGUGAAGCAUGGGUGGGGUGUGUGUGUGUGUGUUGUGUUUUGUGUCAGUUUGUAAAGCUUUGAAGUUGAAAAAUUGUUUUUAAAAUAAAUUUCCUCAUGUUGUGAAGAACAAAGCAGUAAAUUUGCUACCUGAAACAGCCCCCAUAUCAGUUAAAUUAUCAAAUGCAAAUGGCUUAUUGAAGUAAUUCAGGAAAAAACCCAAAACUACUCCUUAAGAAACAGCAGGCUAUACAUUUAAAAGAUUUUUAUUCUUCUCACUCAAGAACAGUGCACAAACAAUAUGGGUGCUCCCAGCUCUGCUGGCUGCCAUUGACAGUGCCAGAGAGCUCUCCUAUAGGCUGAGCUGAAGAGUUUUAGCUUGUUCUGCAGGACACUUGGCUGGAGCAAAGAAACUUCUCCAUAGGCCAAGACUUCAACAGGUUAUUUCAUGUGUCUGUUCAGCCAGUGCAGAGGAAGUGAAAAUCACCCUCAAAUGCCCCUUCUUGGAAAGUCCUCUGGAAGAUGGGGAAAUUCCCAACUUUAGAAUACUGGCAGAACAUCCUAUUUCUGCAGACUCUUCCGAAAGAAAUGCUUUUUAAGACUGUGCAUUUCCUUGGGACACUCAUCUGGGAAAAAUUAGGAUAAUUUCUUUAAUCAAGCAUUGUGGCUGGGGCAGGGAGAAUUGGGGAGCCACAUGACCUCUCUCUCAUGUCCUUUGUGGCUGUGUAGGACGGGGGGAAUCCAUCCUCUACUAAUGUGGCACUGCAGGCUUAGACAGCCCAAUGAACCAUUCUGUUUGCCCUCAGGCUCCUCCAACUUGAAAUCAAGCAACAGAGCCACUUUCCUGCAUGGAAGCUGCUCAGCAGGAGAAACAGGGAAGAGAUAGCAGCUGCUUAGAGCUCUCCCCUUUUGCAUCCAAGCUGCUUGCUGGCCCUGAGGUGCAGGGAGGGGGAAAGGGUGAUGGGAGGCAGCUGGGGAAUGUGAUGCCCUCUGUAUCCUUCCUGUAGUGACAAGCCUUAUUCAAACACUUCAGUUUGAAAAGCUCAGAGUGCAGCUCCAGGAGAAUGCUUUCAAUUCAUAAUCAAAUAUGGGGCAAUAGCAGAUGGAUAAAACAAACAAUUGUGGGGGAGGAUGAGGUACAUUCUCAAACACUCUGGAGUGUGUUCUGGGAAGAAGACACCCACUUUCUACAUGUUAUUUCUCAUUCAAGGAAAUCUAUGGGCGAGUGAACUUUGGGACCUUUUUCACUGUGCUCAGAAAAAUUGCUGGAAGAUGCACCUCUAUUUUAUUUUUUUUUUAAAUAUGGAAUCAGUUUUCAUGUUCUUGCAGGCUUUGAAGCUCUUCCUAUCCCCACUGUAUUACUCCUCUCUUUCUUACAUGAGGAAAUGGAGCAAGUAGCUUGUCUAUCUGAUCAGCACUAAUCCUACCCUGUCACUAUGCCAGGAGAUGCAGCCUGUUGAGUGGAGCCCUGGCACAGCAACCCAUACGUGCAUUUAGUGCUCUGCGGGCCUCAUUGUGUUACACUCCUCAGGAUCCCUGCUCUGUAAGCUCUGCAAGAGGCUCUUCUCUCCAGUGGUGAACUGGGCUCCUACUGCAUGUGCAGCCAACUCCAUUGUUCUGUUGGUGAUGAUAAAACAUAGGCUUUUACAGCAAAGAAAGCCUCCAUGCAAGCUGGGGGGCUUCUCAAGGCACAGCAGGCCAUGACAAGUAGCGUUAAGUGAGAUAUGAACUGCUCUGAACAGAUGCAGCUGGUGUGUUUGACUGUGAUAAGUGGUGGAAAAGCAUGCCAUAUCUUCCCUUAGGAAUGUGUUUAUUGGUUGAAAUGUUACAUCCAAACAUACUAUUUUUUACUGGCCACAUGAUUAAGAUCAGAGUCAAGAAUACAACUGUGCAGAUCUCAACCACUGGGACCAUUGCUGUGCACUGCGAUAACCAAAAAAGAGAGGCACAGUGUUCUCACUCCAUAAGAACAUUGAUUAAUUGCCUCAGUUCCUCUGGAUCCCAGCUUCUCUGGAACCUGUGAGAAAUUCCUUUUCAUAAUACUGCACUGACUUCCCAAAAAGUUUAAGUGCUUCAUAAGCAUAAAUUAAUUCAGCCAUACAGCAUUUCUGUGAUGUGGGAAAACCUGUGAUGCCAACCUGACACCACUCACUUGACUUGCUUAAUACUGCAAACUGAAUCAGUGAUGUAGAUAAGAACCAAACUCAGGAUCCCUGCUUCUGACCUCCUUGCUUCAUGCAGUGAAUGCAGACGUGGCAAACACGCAAUAUUCAACAAGUGGUUGGAUUGUGACUAGUGCACCUUUGCAUAAUAGUGCAAAAGCAAUUCCUUUUAUGGAUUCCCUCUCCCACUUCAAAAACUACCUUUAGUGAAAGGAAAAUGCUCUAAAAAGCUCACUCUUAUAAAUGUAGCACUGAACCAUUUCUGCCCUUAAUUUCUUACCCCCACAUAACUGUGAGUGGCUUUAUUUAACAUUCACAAUCGAGUUUGUGAUUUAGGUGGCUGAGUUAGCUGACUGACCUUUAGAUUUGGUUCCCUCUGGAGUCAACAGACAGGUGUAUAUCUAGGAGGUUCUUCCAGAGGAUGAUUCAGAGCAGAAGUCCAAGUAAUGUGGUCAGAUUUGAGCUGAGUGAGCGCCUAAAGCCUUGACAAACUCUUGUUCCUGAUUGCAAAAGGUGGAGUUGGGAUUAUCUGACAGCACAGUAUAAAAGAAGUGAAAUAUGUCUGACAGAGAAAAGACCAAGAGGUGAUUAUGUCUGUGCUAUGUUUUGCAUCUACGAGAGCUCGAAGCAAUAGGAAUAAACAUACAGUGGAGACAUCUAUGUUACAGGCAACUGUCUAGCUGGAUUCGCAGCACUGAGCAUAACUCAGAAACUAUACAUUAGUUUUUAAAGGCUGAUAAAAAUUGUCAGUUUUGCAUUAAUAAUGGGACAACCUGUUGUUAUUUGCCGUCUCCCUUAUAUAAAAACUUCUGCCAGACAUUAAUUUUCCACUCAGGGAGGCUAAAUGCAUGUGAACAUUAUCUGAGGUAUCUUGAAUAUCUUUUCUUAAGACAAGACAAUGACAUUUCUCUGUACAAGUUCAAACAUGACUCUCCCAUGUUGCAAAGAACUGUCAAAUUGAAUAACAGGUACAGUGAAAGCACUUCUUUCCCAAACUAUUCAAAUGAGCAUCACCUUAAAUAAACAGAACCUGGCUAAGGGUUACAUGAAAGAUUUGUCAUAGCAAGAAGUAAUAUUUGAAUGAUAAUAUCUCUUAAUUUAUUCAUUAUUUAAAGUUACUCUUUUAAAUAGACCUAGAGCAGUCUUUCCCAGGUAACCCCUGAGAUAAAGUUAUCAGUCUCUGUCUCUCAUCUUCACUGCAUCCUGCUGUAAAUAAUGCUUUUGCACAUGGUAUCUCCUACCAGUGGUGAUUGCAGUAACUCUUUGGCUCCCAGCAGAAGUAGUUGGGGGUGUGGUUAAGCCAGGAUGCAGUGAACAUGAUUCAUACAAAAAACCUCAGACCUUGGACUGGUUGUAAGGGAUUCCCACGUUUAUUAUGUGGGAAAGUGUUGAACAUAUUGUAUAAAUUAUACAAUGGAGCUGAAAGAUUGGGAUUUCCCUGUGUUAGUCAGUUGGUUACUACACUAGAUUUAGACCGUCAUUAAAGAAGAAAAUAAGAAUCUUUCUUAUUAUAGACAGCAAGACAAUAUCCAGGGUACUUUUUAAUUAAGAGAAUCCCAGAGAAAUUAGAAAGUGAUGCAGGAAUUGGAGCAACAACUGAUUUGCUUUUGCAAAUAACUGCAACCUUUACAAUGAAAUGGUUUGAUACUUCUUUUCUUGUCUUGAAAGCAGUCUCUCUAGCAAUUCAGAUAUAUUGACAGAAGACAUGACCUUUCUGUGGUAUUCAGGGCAUUUACACUGUCUGACUGAUUCUGCUUUAGUCAUCUGUUAUGGUGCAGUUUGGAGAAACCCAGGAUCCUCAUACUGCCAGUGUAGAGGAGGCAGGCAUGAUUCAGAGAAGCCAGGCUAAAUGCCUAAAGGAAUUUGAAGGAGAUGGUGUGAAUACCACCUGUGCUUCUACUCUGAACCUCAUUUUUCAGUUAUUUGUAGUUUUACUGUAAAACUUCUCUUGGAGCUCAACCUUUGCACACAUGAAGUCAGAGACUUGUAACAGCCACCAAUUUGUAACAGCUGAGAAUCUGGCCCAGGAUCUGUAAUUUUGUUUUUAAUAGCUAUUUGGAAGAGAUUAUUUUACAACUUGUUCUAAUAUGUACAUUCCCAGUAGACUGCUCAGGUAAUUACUUGGGCUGUAGUUCAAAUAUUCCACAGUUUGAAAUAUACUUGCAGAAAAAUCUAUUUUUCUGUGUACAGAGGUACAGAAACAGUCACUUCUUUGGCAUGUGUAGCUAUUCCUUUUCAAACAAAUCCAAAAUUGUAGGUGUAUAAAUGUAUGAAGAUGAAAAUAUUUUCAGUUUGUAUUUAAGGAUAUAUUUGGAAAUGUGUACCUUUACACAGUAAAAAUUUGUUACCUGGCAACACACAAGGUUACGCAGAAUAAAGAAAUAAGGAAGAAAUGCUCAUGAAAAAGAUGUUUGACAUUGAAGAAAAGUUUUAUAUGUCAUCUUGAGUGAUGCUUUCUCACUAGCUUAUAUGAAAGAUAUUUUCUACGUAUAAAUUUUUCUUAUGUUCACAGGUCAGUAGGCCUUAGU